CCCGCUGAACUUAAGCAUAUCAAUAAGCGGAGGAAAAGAAACUAACAAGGAUUCCCCUAGUAACGGCGAGUGAAGCGGGAAGAGCUCAAAUUUGAAAUCUGGCGGCCUCCGGUCGUCCGAGUUGUAAUCUAGAGAGGUGUUUUCCGUGCCGGACCGUGUACAAGUCCCUUGGAACAGGGCGUCAUAGAGGGUGAGAAUCCCGUCCAUGACACGGACUCCCGGUGCUCUGCGAUACACCUUCAAAGAGUCGAGUUGUUUGGGAAUGCAGCUCAAAAUGGGUGGUAAAUUCCAUCUAAAGCUAAAUACAGGCGAGAGACCGAUAGCGAACAAGUACCGUGAGGGAAAGAUGAAAAGAACUUUGGAAAGAGAGUUAAACAGUACGUGAAAUUGUUGAAAGGGAAACGCUUGGAGUCAGUCGCGUCUGCUGGGACUCAGCCUCGCUUUUGCUUGGUGUACUUUCUGGUUGACGGGUCAGCAUCAAUUUUGACCAUUGGAAAAAGAUUAAGGGAAUGUGGCAUACAUAGUGAUGUGUUAUAGCCCUUGGUUGCAUACAAUGGUUGGGAUUGAGGAACUCAGCACGCCGCAAGGCCGGGUUUUUAUUAACCACGUACGUGCUUAGGAUGUUGGCAUAAUGGCUUUAAUCGACCCGUCUUGAAACACGG
rnacentral:rRNA from 1 species